GACGAACGCUGGCGGCGUGCUUAACACAUGCAAGUCGAGCGGUAAGGCCCUUUCGGGGGUACACGAGCGGCGAACGGGUGAGUAACACGUGGGUGACCUGCCCUCAGCUCUGGGAUAAGCCUGGGAAACCGGGUCUAAUACUGGAUAUGACUCCAUGACGCAUGUUGUGGGGUGAAAGCCUUGUGCGGCUGAGGAUGGGCCCGCGGCCUAUCAGCUUGUUGGUGGGGUGAGGCCUACCAAGGCGACGACGGGUAGCCGGCCUGAGAGGGCGACCGGCCACACUGGGACUGAGACACGGCCCAGACUCCUACGGGAGGCAGCAGUGGGGAAUCUUGCGCAAUGGGCGAAAGCCUGACGCAGCGACGCCGCGUGAGGGAUGACGGCC
rnacentral:rRNA from 1 species